GCAUUAUUGCUGUUGGGUUUUGAAGUGGAAGAGACUCACAAGAUACAGCAACCUAUAAAAGAGUUGGAUGGUUAGUUUCUCAAGGUUAUUCACUACUGAGGAAAUGAUUUCACGCUCAUUGUGGGAAUCGAUGCAUACUCAGCAAUCUAAUUUGGAAGCAAUUAAGAGUGCAAAGUCAUCGCCACGGGUUUGCAUCUUGUCUGGCCUUAGUGGGGAGCAGAUGAUGAUGUUCAUUGAGUCAUUUUCAGGAACAGGUAAUGUUCCAGCAUCAUUAUUGCUACCCAUUCAUUCCAUAAUGUAAACAUGGCUAACUGACUUGGU